rnacentral:rRNA from 2 species
UACGGAGGGGGCUAGCGUUGUUCGGAAUUACUGGGCGUAAAGCGCACGUAGGCGGAUCGGAAAGUUGGGGGUGAAAUCCCGGGGCUCAACCCCGGAACUGCCUUCAAAACUAUCGGUCUGGAGUUCGAGAGAGGUGAGUGGAAUUCCGAGUGUAGAGGUGAAAUUCGUAGAUAUUCGGAGGAACACCAGUGGCGAAGGCGGCUCACUGGCUCGAUACUGACGCUGAGGUGCGAAAGCGUGGGGAGCAAACAGG